rnacentral:rRNA from 1 species
UUGGUGCAAGCAUGUCCGUUAGGAAGGAAAUGUGCAAUUUAGGUGCGGCGUGACGGAGUGGGAAGAUCAGAGCGUCUGUAUUGACUGGACGUUGAACGUGCAAGGCGUUGAUUCCGGGAGGCAAAUCCCCCGGAAGAGUCGAGUACGCAUCACGAACACCUACCGCAAGGUAGAUGAGUCUGUCCCUUUCUGCUUCCAAGAAAACCGUCGCAACCGAGAGUCGUAUGAAACCGUACCGCAAACCAACACCGGUGGGGUGGUCGAGUAGACCAAGGCGAACGGGUCAUCUAGCGUUAAGGAACUCGGCAAUAAAGCGUCCGUAACUUCGGGAUAAGGACUGCCCUCGAUUUAUCGGGGGCCGCAGCGAAAGAGCUCAGGCGACUGCUUACCAAAAGCACAGGUUCCUGCAAAGCCGCAAGGCCAUGUAUAGGAGCUGAUGCCUGCCCAGUGUCAGAAGGUCACGAAAGGAGGUUUACGCCUUCGAUCUAAGCCCUGAUGAACGGCGGCCGUAACUAUAACGGUCCUAAGGUAGCGAAAUUCCUUGUCGGGUAAGUUCCGACCCGCACGAAUGGUAUAACGAUCUGAGCACUGUCUCGACGCUAGGCCCGGUGAAAUUUCAUUGACGGUGCAAAUGCCGUCUUGAUCACGGAAGGACGAAAAGACCCUAUGAAGCUUUACUAUAUGCUGGCAUUGCAUUGUUAGUUGGCAUGCGCAGGAUAGGUGGGACCCUUUGAAGUUGCGGCUUUGGCUGCGAUGGAGGGGCCGUUGAGAUACCACCCUUGCCUUCUGACGAUGCUCACCCUGUCUCUGAAACGGAGCAGGGGACCGUGCUUGCUGGGUAGUUUAACUGGGGCGGUUGCCUCCUAAAAUGUAACGGAGGCGCGCAAAGGUCCACUAGUACCGGAUGGAAAUCGGUACGGUCGUGUAAUCGCACAAGUGGGCCUGACUGUGAGGCUGACAAGCCGAGCAGGGACGAAAGUCGGUGAUAGUGAUCCGGCAACCUGGGUAUAUUUAUAUGCCCUCACCACGUGGGUGGGUUGUCGCUCAACGGAUAAAAGUUACUCUAGGGAUAACAGGCUGAUCAGAUCCAAGCGCCCACAGCGACGAUCUGGUUUGGCACCUCGAUGUCGGCUCAUCGCAUCCUGGGGGUGGAGAAGCUCCCAAGGGUCCGGCUGUUCGCCGGUUAAAGCGGUACGCGAGCUGGGUUCAGAACGUCGUGAGACAGUUUGGCCUCUAUCCUCCGUGGUCCCAUGGAAUCUUGAAGGAAGCUGCUCCUAGUACGAGAGGACCGGAGCGGACGAACCUCUGGUGUACCUGUUGUCGCGUCAGCGGCAUUGCAGGGUAGCUAUGUUCGGAAGGGAUAACCGCUGAAGGCAUCUAAGCGGGAAGCCCCUCCUAAGAUUGAGAUUCCCCAUAAGCCCGCAGGAAGACUACCUGCUAGAUCGGUCAUAGGUGUACGUACAGUAAUGUAUUUAGCCGAGUGAUACGAGCGGGCAAUUGAACAU